GAUGAACGCUGGCGGCGUGCCUAAUACAUGCAAGUCGAGCGAACAGACGAGGAGCUUGCUCCUCUGACGUUAGCGGCGGACGGGUGAGUAACACGUGGAUAACCUACCUAUAAGACUGGGAUAACUUCGGGAAACCGGAUCUAAUACCGGAUAAUAUAUUGAACCGCAUGGUUCAAUAGUGAAAGACGGUUUUGCUGUCACUUAUAGAUGGAUCCGCGCCGCAUUAGCUAGUUGGUAAGGUAACGGCUUACCAAGGCAACGAUGCGUAGCCGACCUGAGAGGGUGAUCGGCCACACUGGAACUGAGACACGGUCCAGACUCCUACGGGAGGCAGCAGUAGGGAAUCUUCCGCAAUGGGCGAAAGCCUGACGGAGCAACGCCGCGUGAGUGAUGAAGGUCUUCGGAUCGUAAAACUCUGUUAUUAGGGAAGAACAACUGUGUGAGUAACUAUGCCCGUCUUGACGGUACCUAAUCAGAAAGCCACGGCUAACUACGUG
rnacentral:rRNA from 1 species